rnacentral:lncRNA from 1 species
GUAGAUGUCCCCCGUGGAUCCUGGGAUCCUUUCUCUUUAGCCGGCUUGACCUUGCCUUUGCUCCCCCUGGCUGGGCUUUUGGAGACGAUUGAUUACCGCCCGCAAAGAGGAGGCAGGGAGAGGAAGAAGGAUUCCUGGGCUAAGGUUGCCCAGUGGCGCCCGAUCCCCUCUAUCUCCCUCCUCACCUUCGCAGGAGAACCAAGUGUCCCUGAGCAUGGUCGCCAAACUGUUACCGGAAAAAUCCGAGGGCUCCCUUGGACAAAAUAAAGACACCAACCAGGAUAACUUGGAGCAAAACAGCAGCCUGUAGGCUUGGCCUUUAUUGAACUGUUGCAACAGGGUGUUCCCCUCACUUGCGAGAGAGAGGAAAGACCCAGAAAGAUGGUGUGCAAGACCUUAUAAAAACUUUUGAAAUUCCCAUCCUCUAGGUCAAGCCCACCCCCAGAAACAUCAUGCAUACAUUACAGAAAGGAGGGGUUGAGGGAGGAGUUGUGGUGGUAACCUGAGUGUCCUGUCACCUGGCUGGUUCCUCCUUUCCCCUCCCCAUGAGUCACUUCCAGGAGACAAAGGGGAGUUGGCAGUUUCCUGCCCCCAGAGGGAAGAUCUGAUCAUUGUCCUUUGUUUCAGUCCAUGCUGAAUCCACUCCCAUAUGCAAGUUCUUUGUGAUCUUGAUGGUCUUCUGUCUAGGACCAUCAGGGUUGGCAUAGCAACUGGGCAGGGCUCCUGUGGAUGUGCUGGGAUGGUGAAGGGAUUAUGGCUGACCAGAACCAAGCCACCCCCCUUUGAUAGUCCUUGUCAUAUGGAGUAAAAUAAAAACGGAACAGUGCAAAUCCGAUGUAUGGUUGAUUUUUCUAUGAAUUUAUAACAGAAGUGUGGCAUAUGUAGUGUGUGAGUGUGAGUGUGUGAAGUUUGUACAAACUGAAUGAUUGGGGUGGGGGGUUCCUGCUACACUUCCACAAAAUGCAGGCAGAAAUUCAACAGAUUCAAUAGGAGGCAAAUUGGUCAGACUCUGGAUUCAGGCUUCCCCAGAAUGACACACAGAACAACAAGGGAAGUUCUCUUUUUCUAAAAUUUAUUUUAAAAACCAAGAUUAAACAUACUUAAAAGUAGGCACAUCUCUUAUGUUUCAGACAGAAAAAUAAGAACAUUGUAGAGUAUUGCUAGCUAACGUACUUACAAAAUGAGAACAAUAGCAAAGGUUAGAGUAGCUCAGAAGUCCUCGGUUGAAUCUGCAUCUCAAAGACAGUAGGAAUCUUCAUCACAAAGACACGCAUACGAAUGUAGCAAGUCGACUGUCAGCAUGAUGGCAAACUGACAGAAGGGCAGAUCACAGAGCGCGCGCAAAAACUCCUUUCCUAGGGUCUUUAUUUUCCAAAACCCCACGUGGAAUCGGAACUCAAAUCCAAUCACAAUUCUUGAUUAUAUUUAAAUUCACCAAUGGUCAGCUAGUUGGGUAAUAUCUCAGCUUGUGACAGCUGAGGCUUGUUAGUUCUCAAGAUCUUGGAUCAAAGAUUCCCUCCCUAAAUUUCUCAGAGACACACCAGGUUCCCUUUCUCCUGUAAUGAGGCUUGAUAACCCUUGUUCGCACAGGGACAAUGCUUAAAAACCAGGUGUUAAAUUACUACUAAUCAACUAGAGGUUUUUUCCUUCCUGCAGAUGCCUGAGAUAAGCAAUCCACACUCUCAGAGACAACAAGUCUCCAGCUUAAGGCACCUGAAUAUUUCACUUUUUUAACUACUUCCAUCUCUACUUGUUGCUGCAUUUUAUCCGUUAUUUCUUGGUCCAUAUUUUUGACAAUUAUUUUGGUUUUUUUCUUAUUCAGUUUGAAUCCUGCCACUUGACCAAACUGAUCUAUCUCUUUCAACACUUCUAUUACUGAAUUUAUGGGAUCCUCCACAGUAAAACCAAGUCAUCGGCAAAAGCCUUGACUUUAUAUUUCUUACAUCCCACUGACACACCUUUUAUUUGUUCAUUAUUUCUUAUCAUCUUAAGUAAAACCUCCAGCACCACGGUGAAUAAUAACGGUGAAAGAGGACACCCCUGUCUUGUACCUUUUGUUAUUGCAAUAUUUUCAGUUGUCACAUUGUUAACUAUUAAUUUUGCUCUUUGCUCCGUAUAUAUUGCCUUAAUACCAUUUAAAAACGUUUGUUCCAUGUCCAUCAUUUCUAGAUUCUUUAACAUAAAUUCCCAUGAAAUAUUAUCAAAAGCCUUUUCCGCAUCCACAAAUAUUAACAUUGCUUGUUUAUCACUCCUGGCAGUCAGAUGUUCAAUUAUAUUGAUUAUGUUUCUUAUGUUAUCUUUCAUCUGUCUGCCUGGAAGAAACCCUGCUUGAUCCUUAUGUAUUAAUUCUUUUAAAACCUUUUUCAUUCUAUUUGCUAGUAUAUUUGCAAAUAGUUUAUAAUCAUUGUUUAAAAGUGAAAUAGGCCUAUAAUUUUUAACUUGGGACAAAUCGGAAUCUUGUUUGGGAAUAAAAGUUAUAUAAGCUUCCUUCCACGUUUCUGGUAUUUCCUUUCUUAUUAGUAUGUUGUUCAUUACUUCUUUCAAUGGUGCAAGUAGGGUGUCCUUCAUUUCUUUAUAGAAUCUCACGCUAAAGCCAUCCGGUCCUGGUGUUUUUCCACUUUUCAAUUCUUUAAUUGCACAAUUUAUUUCCUCUAUCUCAAUCAUCUCGUUUAGUUUAUUCUUUUUUUCAAUCGGAAUUUUCUGCACCCCUUUUUCUUUUUAAAAAAUCUUCAAUUUUUUUCUUAUUUACUUUUUCUUUUCUUUUAUACAAUUGUCUAUGGAAAUCCACAAAUCCUUUUCUAAUUCCUUUCGGAUCUUCAAACUCUUGAUCUUCUACUAUAAUUUUUUGUAUUGUAUUUUGCUCUUUCCUCUUUUUAAUCUGCCAGGCCAGAAGUUUUCCUGAUUUAUUUGCAUACUCAAAGUUCCUCUGCUUCAUUUUUUUGAUGUUCCAUUCUACUUCCUGACUUAUUAUCAUAGAAAAUUGCUACUGUAAUGUUUUGAUAUUCAAUUUCAAUUUCUUGUCCUGGGGUCUGGUAAUUAGCUUUUUCUCAUUCUCCAUUAUUUGUUUUAAGAUUUCUUUUCCCCCUUUUUCUCUAAAUUUGUUUUUAAUUGUAUUUGUUGGAUAAAGAAACCUCUCAUUACUGCCUUUCCAGCAUCCCAGACUGUACUCAUUUUUGUUCCUUGGUUCAUGUUAUUAUUAAAAUAAUCCUUCAAACACUCUUGUUUUCUACUAUUUUCUGGUCAUCAAAAAGAUUUUCAUUUAUUCUCCACGGGAAAGGUUUUUCCUCAAAUCCUUUUAAUAUACAUUUAAUCGCAUUAUGGUCCGAAAGUACCUUAGGUUGGAUUUCAAUCUUUGAUAUUCUUGGUGUUAAUUCAUUCGAUAUCCAUAUCUGAUCAAUUCUGGACAUUGAUUGAUUUGCCUCUGAAUGGAAGGUGAAUUGUUUUUCUAAUGGGUGCCUUAGUCUCCAAAUGUCAAUUAAAUUGCAGUUCUCUACCAUUGAGAAAAAUGUUUUUGGUAACUUCCCUUCCUUUGUUUUUCCUGUUACUCUUAAUCUGUCCAUUUCCACUGACACUACUGCAUUCAUAUCACCCAUUGUUAUUAUCUUUUGAUCCAUAUAUUCAAAUAAUUUAUCUUCCAAUUCUUUGAAAAAGUCCAUUUUGUUAUCAUUGGGUGCAUAUACUCCGACUAUUAUUAAUUUUUCACCUUGCCAUUUGACUUGUACUGCCACUAUUCUACCUUCUUCAUCUUUAAAAAUCUGUUGAGCCUCUAAUUUAUUUUUAAUAUAUAAUACCACCCCUCUCUUUUUGCUUUUGUCAGAUGAAAUGAAUUCAUUUCCUAAUUUUUUGUUCAUUAAUUUUUUUCUGUGUCUUCUCAUCACAUGUAUCUCCUGUAAACAAAUAAUGUCCAAAUUCUUUUUUAAAAAAAUAUUGUUGAAUUUUAUUUCUUUUUUCCCUAUCGUUCAUCCCAUUGACAUUCCAAGUCCAUAAUUUCAACGCCAUGAUGAUUCCGAAUUAAUUUUAAUAAUAAAUUUUGAUUCUAUUUCUCCUCUUCCUCUUCUUUCUCUUCUUUAUCUUCUUCAGAUUAUUGUGAACCUCCACCUUCCACCCCUGCUCCCAUUGCCUCUGCUGCUGCUUCUUCUCUUUCUAACUCUCUAUAUCUUCUCAGGAAUUUAACCAUUUCAUCCGGUCUUGUAAACCUGUGUCUUUUUCCUUUAUAAGCAAAUGAUAGCCCCUCUGGAAAUUCCCACCUGAAUUCAAUUUUGUUUUUCCUCAGUAUUUGCACCAGCUGUUGGUAAUGGUCGCGUUUCUUCAAUAAGCGAAGUGGGACGUCUUUAAAAAUAAUUAUAUAAUUUCCAUCAAUAUUUAAUCUUUUUUCUCUAUUCUUUUGCAAAAUUAGAUUUCUUAUUUCUCUAUCUUUGAAAAUAACUAAGCAAUCUCCAGGAAAUUUCUUUGCUUUGGUUGUCCUGACUUUAAUUCUGAAUGCUUUUUGUAUUGUCUUUGCAACAUCUUCUUCCUGCAUCUCUAACCAUUGGGCAAUCUCUUUAAUGAGUUUCUCCUUUAUUUCUUCUCCUUGAGCCUCUGGUACCAAUCUAAAUCUCAAAUUAUUUUCUCUUUGUCUCAGUUCAUUCAUAGCAAUAGCGUCUCACAGUUCUUCUUGAGCUCUAUUCACCUCUGACACCUCUGCUUUAAUUUUUUCUUCCUCCUUCUUAAUUUCCCUAAGAUCUAAUUUAGUCUUCUUCAUCCCUUCUUCCAAAUUUUGUGUCCUUUUUGUCAUUUCCUUCAUCUGUCCUUUUAUCUCAUUAACUGAUUCAUCAAUUUUUUUUACAGUCACAUCUAUUUUUUUAUCCAUUUGUUCCAAUUUUGUUUCAAUAUUUUUCUCACUUUUCCUUAUUUCUGAUUUCAAAUCUGAUUUAAGUUCUGUAAACAUCUUUAUUAAGUCUCCUUUAAUUUCAGAUUCUUGCCUAGAACCCUUUCUUUCUGCAGGUGUCCCUCCUUCCCCUUUCUUCUGUGUGUGAGACAUUCUAAUAAGCUGUUCUGAAAUAACUCCAAUAAAGAUAUCCACCAGGGGGAGUCAAAUUAAAACAAUAGUUCCCGGCCACAAGAUCAAAAAUUGAGUUCAAUAAAAGUCCCAAAAAUUUCCAAAAAUUAUUUCAUUUCCUUCAUGCCACUUGAAUGGCCACAUCCAAUAUUUAUGAUUGUAUUCCAAAAAGCCACCAAUGUAAAAUAAAUGUAAAACUUUCCAAAGCCAAGUCCUUUAAAAAACCUCAACCAAAUCCCUCAUAGAAAGCAGAAGAAAGGCAAAAAUAUAAUCCAUAUACACCAAAUAAGAAGAGCAGAGUUCAAUUGAGAGAGGGAAAAAGUUAAGUCCACAAUCCGCAGUCUUAUAAAGGGGAGAAAGUUAAAUCCACAGUCCACAGUCUUAUAAAGGGGAGAGAUUGUGCUUCAUCUAUUCCGGAAAUCAAAAUGGCGAUUCCCAACAAAAGAGUGGGGGUGCAAUCUCCAGGAAAUCCAAGCCGCUUAAAAAGCACUUUGACUAUGUCCCUUAAAUACUUAGACUCCAACAC